CAGCUUUAUUCUUUGUAAUAACAACUAUUCACUGAAAGUGGAUUGGCAGAAUGGGGCUGAUGAGAAUCUAGUGAUGUUAACUAAUAGAGAAUGCUAGAUAGUAAUAGCUAGUAUUUAUUAAGCAGUUACCACAUGGCAGGCUGUAUGCUAUAUUUCCUAUAUUUCAUAAAACCACCCUUUGAAGUUGUUACCAUUGUCCCCAUUUGUCCUGCAAAGUGAGAUGAUUUUCCCAAUAUUAAAUAGUAACUGGUAGUGCUUAGAUGAGAAAUCAAUCGAUUCUGUGCCCAUGUCCCAUGUUUUCCCAUACUGCACUUUAGCUGAGGGAUUAGAACAUUCUAAUUAUAGCAUCUAAGAAAAAAUUGGGAGUUCUAGACUAGGGGCAGAGACUUCUUACUCUUUGUAUCUCUUCUGCAUCUAUUAUGAGGCAGAAAAUCCUUGUACUGAAUGAAAAAAGGCCCUGUGAGUUUAAGAGGGAAAAAAAAAAAAGAGUGAUGAGGAAAGGUCAGUUCAAGCAGAUCACUCAUCAUCUUAUUUAGCCAGUCCUGAAGAUGGGAAACCUCAAAUAGGUAGAAAAAGUGGCAGUCGCUUACAGGGAGUAAGUCCAUGAGGUCUGAGAGAGAACUUGAACACAGGGAGAUCAUCUGAGCAGACAGUAGUGUUUAUUCCUUUGAUAGGUAUUUUCAGUAAAGUCCAAAAGGUGGCUAAGAGUUUUAGAUCUCACCAGAUAUAAGAAGUGUUUGCCAUUCACUAGAUACCUAGAAGCUAAUUAUUGGUAAUAAUCAACUCAUGUUGACUUAAUGUGAUAUGCUUUUAUUCUGCUAAGACUUAGACAUCAAGCAGUCUCCCCUGGAUGAGGUUUGAGCUGUAACCACGGAGUACAUGACAUAUAUCAUUAGGCAGAAUGGUCCCUCCCCCACCAAAGAUGCCCACAUCAUAAUCCCCAGAACCUGUGACUGUGUUACCUUAUGUGGCAAAAAGAACUUUGCCAUGUGAUUAAGGUUAAUAAGGGCCUUGAGAUGGGAAGAUAAUCCUGGAUUAUCCAGGUGCACCCAUUUUAAUCACAAGUCCUUAAAAGGAGCAAAUUUUUUCCUGGCUGUGGUCAGAGAAAUGACAAUAGAAGAAGGGUCGGAGAGAUGCAACGUUGCUGGAUUUGAAGGCAGAGAAAGGGUACCAGGAUCCAAGGAACUCAGGAAGCUUCUAGAUGCUGGAAAAGGUUUUCAAAACAAGAACAGAGUUGCGAUCUUGGCAGAACUGGACAAAGAGAAAAGAAAAUUACUCAUGCAGAACCAAUCUUCAACAAAUCAUCCUGGAGCUAGCAUUGCACUCUCGAGACCCUCUCUUAAUAAGGACUUCCGGGAUCAUGCUGAGCAGCAGCAUAUUGCAGCCCAACAAAAGGCAGCUUUGCAGUGGAACGAUAUCAAUAAAAGUGUUGCGCACAUCAUUGCAAUGGGUUUUUGAUGUUCAGUCAUGCUCAAAGGAUUUGAAGGACCAAUACAGCAGUAAUGAAAGUAUCUUUUAUGGUUUUGACACCGCCAUGAUUGAUUCUGUGCCGUACCUGGCAAGGGAUUGCUUGUGUACAAAAGAGUUUAGGAUAUUUGGAUGGACAGAAUGAUAUUAAAAGCUAAACUGCCUAGUUUAAUGCACGCACAUGCACAUUCAUCUGGAUACUUCAUAACUCAAGACUCCGCAUUUGGGAAUCUUAUUCUUCCUGUCUUACCUCGCCUUGACCCAGAGUGAAGAAAAUAUUUGUAGCA